AGGAAGAUGUGCAGGCUCUUACUUUUUUUGAAUUGGUGAACCAAAGGUGAAACUCUUUUAGGGAAGUGACAUCACAAAGGAAAGGUCCCAACAGAAUGUUUCUGCUGGUGAAAUCUGAGAAAGUGUCCGUACGUUGCCAAGAAGAAAUGAGAUUUAUUUGAAGGGAUGACUUUACUUCCUGUCAACUGCACCUAAACUGAGGUCAAAACUCAACGUGUCAAAAUAUGCUGACUGAAUACAACGAGCAAGAUAGAUAUCUGUGCACUCUUCUCUUCAGCUCAGGCUUACUUCAACCAGGGUUCUAUAGUUUAAACAAGUGCAUUUAGGAAUUUUUCAAGAUGUUUAAAGCUACCUAUUGGAGGAGAAACAUGCAUUCCUGCAAUUUGAGCCACACAUCACCUCAAGGCUAAAUGUAGAUAAGUUCAAAGGUGAUGUCCACAUGUCAAGUUGUAAGAAUAAAGAAGCAGAUGGAGCAACAUGCAAAUUAAUAGAAUUAGGGAGAUUGAUAAAAAGCUGACAGAAUCACUUGAUUCAUCAGGACAUUGAUGCUAUCUUCGACUGUGAGCAUUGAGUUUCAGGAUGUAAGAGGAGGAGGAUUCAGUCAGGAAACAGAAAACAAACAUUGCAUCAGGGUCUGAGAGAGCUGGUCAACGUACUUGCAAUUAGAAUAUCAUAGGAUUGUGAACAUGCAAGGAACAAGUACCAUUCACAGAGUAGGAGAACUGUACACGUGUAAUGUCUGUGGAUGAGAUUUCAGCCAAUCAUCUGGUCUGUUGAGACACAAGUGCAGUUACAACUGGGAGAGACAGUGAACAUGUGGGGACUGUGGGAAAGGAUUCAGAUCCACAUCAGAGCUGGAAACACUGGAUUCAGCAGGUGAUAAACUAUGGUGAUGUCCAGAGCAGGGACCCCUGGCUGCAGUAUACCUGAAGGGUGGACUUGUGGCAAGGUUCUCUUUGCUGUACUUGGAGUAGGGACUCCUUGAAGACCGGGAAACCUUGCAGAGUCACUGGAGUUGUGUUUGAAGACCCUUUAUACAGAGGAUGAGCUCCAUUUUUUUUGUUGUUUUUGCAACUUAAAAUGACACCAGAUUGUGGUGAAUAGACACUUUUCAUUGUAUCUUUCUGUAUGUAUAUGUGACAAUGAAUA